rnacentral:rRNA from 1 species
CGUUAAGUUGCAGGGUAUAGACCCGAAACCCGGUGAUCUAGCCAUGGGCAGGUUGAAGGUUGGGUAACACUAACUGGAGGACCGAACCGACUAAUGUUGAAAAAUUAGCGGAUGACCUGUGGCUGGGGGUGAAAGGCCAAUCAAACCGGGAGAUAGCUGGUUCUCCCCGAAAGCUAUUUAGGUAGCGCCUCGUGAACUCAUCUUCGGGGGUAGAGCACUGUUUCGGCUAGGGGGCCAUCCCGGCUUACCAACCCGAUGCAAACUACGAAUACCGAAGAAUGUUAUCACGGGAGACACACGGCGGGUGCUAACGUCCGUCGUGAAGAGGGAAACAACCCAGACCGCCAGCUAAGGUCCCAAAGUCAUGGUUAAGUGGGAAACGAUGUGGGAAGGCACAGACAGCCAGGAUGUUGGCUUAGAAGCAGCCAUCAUUUAAAGAAAGCGUAAUAGCUCACUGGUCGAGUCGGCCUGCGCGGAAGAUGUAACGGGGCUAAACCAUG